GAACGUUGGCGGUAUGCUUAAGACAUGCAAGUCGAACGGGGCCCUUCGGGGUUCAGUGGCGGACGGGUGAGUAACACGUGGGAAUCUGCCCAAUAGUGGGGGACAGCCCGGCGAAAGCCGGAUUAAUACCGCAUACGCCCUACGGGGGAAAGGCGCAAGCCGCUAUUGGAUGAGCCCGCGUAAGAUUAGCUAGUUGGUGAGGUAAAGGCCCACCAAGGCAACGAUCUUUAGCUGGUCUGAGAGGAUGGCCAGCCACACUGGGACUGAGACACGGCCCAGACUCCUACGGGAGGCAGCAGUGGGGAAUAUUGGACAAUGGGGGCAACCCUGAUCCAGCAAUACCGCGUGUGUGAAGAAGGCCUGCGGGUUGUAAAGCACUUUCAGUUGGAAAGAAAAGCCUGAGGCUAAUAUCCUUGGGUCUUGACGUUACCAACAGAAGAAGCACCGGCUAACUCCGU
rnacentral:rRNA from 1 species